UGUCCUUGGAUAAAAGUGAAAAAUUGGAUCAAGCCAAAUACAUCCUUACAAUUUUUGCUCACCAGGUUAAGCUUACACAGACUUUGGACUGGGAAAACAUUUUGUAUUGGUACAGUGAAACCAUCACAGGACAUACCAGGAGUUGCCAGGAAACAGCAGGUUUACAGGCUGCUGUUGCAGGUUAUUGGGAAAGAGCUGAGCCUGCUAAAUAUUUGAUAUUUACCAAGCUGUGAUGCUGAAAUACCAGAGGCAUCUGAAGAAUCCAGCCCAGUUCUCACCCCUCUCAUGCCCCAGCACAGGGCUGACAGACAUGUAGAUGCUCUGCUUCCAUCCCUAGGUGCAAUCUGUUGGCCAUGGGGCCAUGUGUGUGUGACCAAGGGGCUUUGAUACACAUGGAUUCUGCUCAUCCAGACUCACAUCCUAUGGAUUUCUCCUCUAUAGCAUGCCCACCUCACCUCUCCUUCAUGACCCACAGCCACAUCCCUGCCCUGUGCUCUUCCUGACCUAAGCCUUUCCUGAGGCCGCUCCCUAGUGCCCCACCACUUCCUCAACUUUUGCUGGCUCAGGGCAUUGUCUUAUCAGUCUGGGAUAUUUUUAUCAGUCUGUGCUGUGCAGUAAAGUCUGGGCUCACCUCUGCUCUCCUGGAGUGGUGUGCCUGGCUGGCCAGGGCUGGGACCGCUGUGCUCUGCGAGUGAGCACCAAAGAGAUGCCUUGUCUUGCCUCCUCUCAGCUUUGAGGACAGAGAUAAAGCAGCAGUGGAGAAACAAGGUGAGAUAAAUGCAGGAGGGACAAAACUCAGUGAGGUGAAGUGAGGUAGAUCCUGUAAUGCAUUUGGUGAGCCUUCAAAUCCUAUCUCUUAUCCCAGGGAUAUCCCAGAUGCAUAAGCCCUGCAAACUACAUCAUCAGCAUCUUCCUCUG